GUCUGACGCAGCAACGCCGCGUGAGGGAUGAAGGCCUUCGGGUUGUAAACCUCUUUUAUCAGGGAAGAUAAUGACGGUACCUGAUGAAUAAGUCACGGCUAACUACGUGCCAGCAGCCGCGGUAAUACGUAGGUGACAAGCGUUGUCCGGAUUUACUGGGCGUAAAGAGCGCGCAGGCGGUCGUUCAAGUCGAGUGUGAAAGCCCCCGGCUCAACUGGGGAGGGUCACUCGAUACUGAUCGACUCGAAGGCAGGAGAGGGAAGUGGAAUUCCCGGUGUAGUGGUGAAAUGCGUAGAUAUCGGGAGGAACACCAGUGGCGAAGGCGACUUCCUGGCCUGUUCUUGACGCUGAGGCGCGAAAGCUAGGGGAGCAAACAGGAUUAGAUACCCCGGUAGUCCUAGCCGUAAACGAUGGACACUAGGUGUUGGUGGUAUCAACCCCGCCAGUGCCGAAGCUAACGCAUUAAGUGUCCCGCCUGGGGAGUACGGCCGCAAGGCUA
rnacentral:rRNA from 1 species